GACGAACGCUGGCGGCGUGCCUAACACAUGCAAGUCGAGCGGGGUUGAAGCGAGGGGUAACUCGAACUUCUACCUAGCGGCGGACGGGUGAGUAACGCGUGGGCAACCUGCCUCAAGGAUCGGGAUAACAGCUCGAAAGGGCUGCUAAUACCGGAUAUGCCUAUGGCCUCGCAUGGGGCUGUGGGCAAAGGGGAAACCCGCCUUGAGAUGGGCCCGCGUCCCAUCAGCUAGUUGGUGAGGUGAAGGCUCACCAAGGCGACGACGGGUAGCCGGCCUGAGAGGGUGACCGGCCACACUGGGACUGAGACACGGCCCAGACUCCUACGGGGGCAGCAGUGGGGGAUCUUGCACAAUGGGCGAAAGCCUGAUGCAGCGACGCCGCGUGAGCGAAGAAGGCCUCGGUUGUAAAGCUCUGUCUGGAGGACGAAGAAAGUAGACGGUACCGUCCGAGGAAGCCACGGCGUAACUACGUGCCAGCAGCCGCGGUAAAGUACACGUCG
rnacentral:rRNA from 1 species